UGGAUUUGGUCUCCAGAGAUGUGAGAGUUUAAAACUCAAUCUUGGAGAUAUUCAAGAUAAGUUGGGAAUGCAGUUAUCAUCUAUCAGUCUUUGGUUUGUUUUUCCUGACAGUAUGAGAGAACAUACAUUUCCAAAAGUAAGGCAGUCCCGACAAAGAUUUCCUUGAGGCACCUUCUUCUUGGCAAGUUUCUCUCUUUCAUCUUCUAUUCGUGCCUCUUCAAAAUCCAUAGC
rnacentral:lncRNA from 11 species